rnacentral:rRNA from 1 species
UUGCUCUUAUGAAGUUAGCGGCGGACGGGCCCAGUAACACGUGGGUAACCUGCCCAUAAGACUGGGAUAACUCCGGGAAACCGGGGCUAAUACCGGAUAACAUUUUGAACUGCAUGGUUCAAAAUUGAAAGGCGGCUUCGGCUGUCACUUAUGGAUGGACCCGCGUCGCAUUAGCUAGUUGGUGAGGUAACGGCUCACCAAGGCAACGAUGCGUAGCCGACCUGAGAGGGUGAUCGGCCACACUGGGACUGAGACACGGCCCAGACUCCUACGGGAGGCAGCAGUAGGGAAUCUUCCGCAAUGGACGAAAGGUCUGACGGAGCAACGCCGUCGUGAAGUGAUGAAGGCCUUUCGGGUCGUAAAACUCUGUUGUUAGGGAAGAACAAGUGCUASUUGAAUAAGCUGGCACCCUUGACGGUACCUAACCAGAAAAGCCACGGCUAACUCCGUGCCAGCAGCCGCGGUAAUACGUAGGUGGCAAGCGUUAUCCGGAAUUAUUGGGCGUAAAGCGCGCGCAGGUGGUUUCUUAAGUCUGAUGUGAAAGCCCACGGCUCAACCGUGGAGGGUCAUUGGAAACUGGGAGACUUGAGUGCAGAAGAGGAAAGUGGAAUUCCAUGUGUAGCGGUGAAAUGCGUAGAGAUAUGGAGUAACACCCGUGGCGAACGCGAUUUUCUGGUCUGUUACUGACCCUGAGGCGCGAACACCUCGCGGAGCCAACAG